AGUGGGUAUCCAUUUCUUGACCUCACAGAUGAAGAGAAGAGCAGACUUCAGGAGCAGAUUGACCUCCCCAUACCAGCACUGUGGGGAGAGAGGCACUGAGG